AUUUCUCAAUGAUGAUUCCAUUACCUACAUUGUUUGAGGGUAACCUCUGAAAGCAAAUAUAUUAACUGAGAGAAAU